rnacentral:sRNA from 1 species
AUCUCUCUAUCACAUGGUGAAAUCUUGGAAACCUAUUCCAAUUCAAUUAAAGAGCGUUUGCCGCGAAGCAUAUCCUCCGAUCGAAUAGGAGCCUCCUAAAUCUUUUGCUGAAGGAAGCUAUUCAGUCCAGGAUGAUCCCACGCAGCGAUUGGAAUUCCGCAAUCGCACAGCAAGAGAAUUUCUGUUGGUCCCUUUGACAACAAUUCACAUUCCUGGCUGGGGAAGAAAUGCGGUUGAAAAUUGGCUUAAAGGUUUCUACCAAUCAUCCAAUCCAGAUGGGCUGGUAUUUAUCAGAGGGUCUCUGCUUCCAC